GUGCUUGCUUUGGCAGCACAUGUAUAAAAAUUGGAACGAUACAGAGAAGAUUAGCAUGGCUCCUGUGCAAGGAUGACAUGCAAAUUCAUGAAAGCUUCCAUAUUUUU
ensembl:snRNA U6 U6 spliceosomal RNA